rnacentral:rRNA from 1 species
GCCUACGGGGGGCAGCAGUAGGGAAUCUUCCACAAUGGGCGAAAGCCUGAUGGAGCAACGCCGCGUGGGUGAAGAAGGUCUUCGGAUCGUAAAACCCUGUUGUUAGAGAAGAAAGUGCGUGAGAGUAACUGUUCACGUUUCGACGGUAUCUAACCAGAAAGCCACGGCUAACUACGUGCCAGCAGCCGUGGUAAUACGUAGGUGGCAAGCGUUAUCCGGAUUUAUUGGGCGUAAAGGGAACGCAGGCGGUCUUUUAAGUCUGAUGUGAAAGCCUUCGGCUUAACCGGAGUAGUGCAUUGGAAACU